rnacentral:lncRNA from 1 species
GCUUUGAAUGAAUAAAAAUCAGAAGACAACAACUUCGUUAGAUUUGUACCACAGUUAUCCUUACAAACAGUGUUCAAUUUUACCAACAGCUAGAUUUUCUUCUUCCGUUGUCUUCUCCUAGAGCAUAAGCAUGUCAAAGGCAGACUAUAUUUUCUCCAUUUCUGUGCCAUUUCCGCAGGCUUCCAACAAAACCAUAAACGUUGAUGUGGAUACCAGGACAGUGUUUCAGGCAAUUUAGAUGCAAUGUAAAACAGACUGAUGCCGUAGUGGAAGAAGUUGAAGCCGCUUUGCCAAGAUACCUGGUUCUGGUGACAGAAAUUAAGCCCAAACAGACUUAUGGGUAACAAAAGGCAAAAUAAUAUGACUACUCUGAAAAGAUCAGAGACAAGAAUUGAGAUUGCUGCAGACUCAUACGGAUACAGAUUUGCAGCCAGUAACAGGAUGAACCUCAUUUGAGACUCUGUGUAUUGCUAUAAAAAGAACAAGGUAUGGAUGCCAGGGACAGCCAAAAAUUUGAUUCUACUACACUCCAUAUAUAUAUAUAUAAAAUAUAAUACUUUGUAUAUUUUGAAUUCUUUCCGUGCCUGCCAAUUAAUGUCUAUUUGAUAAAAAUUUCUAUAGGGGCAAGGUCAAUUCCUAAGUGUUACCUAAUUUAUUUUAAUUGAAGGUAAGAAAAUCCUAGUGUAACAGAAACCUCGAAGCUGAAGCAGUUGACUACCAAGAGGCCAUUAUUCCAUUUGGCUAGAAAUUGGCAGAUGGAACAAGAAUUGAUUCCAGAGUUACUGAUGACUUGGCUCUCCCCCUGUUUUCAAGGGGGAUUCUACUGAACCAUCAAGUCAUCGAUUUGCUCAUUUCUGCUUCCAUCAGUGAUUAAUAACUCUGUGGUCGGAUAGGGUAUCUUUGCAAUUGCUAAGUGCUAAGUCAUUCAUCUCAUUAGGAAUACAUUCCUACUUUUAUUUGCUGCCUGAAAAGAAUGCACCAUAAGCUCUGCAGUUAUAGCUUGUGUAUGAGGUCUUAAUUAAGAAAUGAAAAUUAUUGUUUCCUUUAAAAAUUGGUAAUGUUAGAAAAACUUGAAGACUUUGGAAUGGGUACAUGUUCAGUGGAAUACUGAAGACUGGGGAUUAUCUGAUGCUGUGUCAAUGUACCUUUGUCUUUGACUAGGCUAUUUUUUAAACUCUUUAAGUUGUAAAUAAAUAACAGCAAUGCAACUAAUUCUUAUCUAUUACUUCUCCAUUGAUGAUGUGACAAAUUUCAUGACUUAAAAUAACACAAGUUUAUUAUCUUAUAGUUCUGGAGGUCAGAAGUCCCACACAG